rnacentral:rRNA from 1 species
GACGAACGCUGGCGGCGUGCUUAACACAUGCAAGUCGAACGGAAAGGCCCUGCUUUUGUGGGGUGCUCGAGUGGCGAACGGGUGAGUAACACGUGAGUAACCUGCCCUUGACUUUGGGAUAACUUCAGGAAACUGGGGCUAAUACCGGAUAGGAGCUCCUGCUGCAUGGUGGGGGUUGGAAAGUUUCGGCGGUUGGGGAUGGACUCGCGGCUUAUCAGCUUGUUGGUGGGGUAGUGGCUUACCAAGGCUUUGACGGGUAGCCGGCCUGAGAGGGUGACCGGCCACAUUGGGGCUGAGAUACGGCCCAGACUCCUGCGGGAGGCAGCAGUGGAGAAUAUUGCACAAUGGGCGGACGCAUGAUGCAGCAACGCCGCGUGCGGGAUGACGGCCUUCGGGUUGUAAACCGCUUGCGCCUGAGACGAAGCGUGAGUGACGGUAAGGGGUAGAGAAGCACCGGCUAUCUGCG